rnacentral:rRNA from 1 species
CACGUAGGAGGAUUUGCCAGUCAGGGGUGAAAUCCCGGGGCUCAACCCCGGAACUGCCCUUGAUACAGCAAAUCUGGAGUCCGGAAGAGGUGAGUGGAAUUCCUAGUGUAGAGGUGAAAUUCGUAGAUAUUAGGAAGAACACCAGUGGCGAAGGCGGCUCACUGGUCCGGCACUGACGCUGAGGUGCGAAAGCGUGGGGAGCAAACAGG